ensembl:lncRNA
UUUUCUUUUUUUCUUAAAGCUGCAUUGUUGUUAAGGGCUUGUGGGUAAGCAUUUCACUGUAUUCUGCACAUGUGACAAAUACAUUCUGAUUUGAUUUUAAAAGGUUAUCAUGAUCAUUACACUAAAAUGGAAAGUAGGCUAUAUUAUUCAACACUAAGAAACUACAAACAUUAAAUAUUAUGACAUCAGUAAAUAUUAUGACAUUGAGAAAUGAACUUUGGCACCCAGUAUAGCAUACAGUACUGAAUGAAACAAAAUCAAAAGUCAAUUUACAGUUUACUGUAAAGAACCUAUAGUUGUUUUAGCAAGCUUACAUCUCAUGCACCUUGCACAUAAGUUACUGUAUCUAUUUUGAAAAGCCAUAGGCUACCUUGUGGAAGCACAAACAAAAAAAGUAUAGUAAUUAUGCAGCAGUAGAAAGGUCAAAUUGUCAUUCACCUAAGGUUCAACAAGAAAUGAUUCACCUUAUGAUUAUACUGAAUUCAUGAUAUUCUUAUGCUGAAUAUAAAAGUAUGAUUUUAUCCCUUUACUAACAUGUCUCCAGUGGAGGUUGUGUUACUGGAUGGCUGCAAGGAUGUUGUUGUACUCUGGGGUGUCCGGGUCCAUUUACUGUAUCUAUUUUGAAAAGCCAUAGGCUACCUUGUGGAAGCACAAACAAAAAAAGUAUAGUAAUUAUGCAGCAGUAGAAAGGUCAAAUUGUCAUUCACCUAAGGUUCAACAAGAAAU